CUGUAUAAAUGUGAAGGAAUUUUCCGUAUUAGUCAUUUACAGGUAUUUUUCUGUAUUUCUCAACUACUGCAAUGCAUUGUGGGAAAAAGAACCCAAAAAGGAGGGAAAAGUCAGAGCAAGAGCAGCCAUUAGACUUCUUUCAGGCUUCAUCUGGAUUUUGGACUCUGGAGUUGGAGAAACUGCCUUCAAAUUUCCGUGUGCAGAGCAAUGGCCAAGCAAAGGAAAGACUUCCCUGAGUGAAAAAGAAGAUGAAGAUGCAAGCUGGUGAUGAUCCAGAGCAGCUGGUCUCAGGAAAUGAAGAAAAACCCUGAUCACCUUUUCCACAGAAACAAGAAUAAAUUACGACUAGUCUCAAUGGCUGAGAUGGAGGAGCAACACAGCGACACGUUAACCCGACUGCUGAAGUUCCCGUAUGAACUGAGCAACUCUAAAAUCCAAGGAAAAGCUGAGUGUAUUUUAUUUAAAGCUCAGAUGGACCUUGAUGGACUAACAUGCAGGCUGCAUUCAGGACUUUGUCACACUGGUAUAUGAAGAGUGGUAACAAGAGAAAUUGUGCACACACAAUGUGUCACUUUAUGCUUGCUCUUCUCCAGCCUCUGGUGUCACUUUGUAGUAAUUAGUCUUACUAUUGUCUUAUGUGUUGUGAUUUAGGGUGUG